rnacentral:lncRNA from 1 species
AUUCCUUACCCCAUCACCAAGGGAGACAAUCACAGUCUCAUUCAGUUGCUGCAUCAAGCUUGAAGUCCACAAAUUACAGAAAAGGGGUCCCAAUCCAGACCCCAAGAGAGGGCUCUUGGAUCUCACGCAAGAAAGAAUUCAGGGUGAGUCCAUAAAGUGAAAGCAAGUUUAUUAGAAAAGUAAAGGAAUAAAAGAAUGUCUACUCCAUAGACAGAGCAGCCCCAAGGCAUCUUGGCUGAUACAGAUUACCUUGGACUUUCUUUUCCAUGUGGCUGGUUUUUGCCUACGACUGAAGGUUCUUCCUAUUUUUUCCCAUGACUGAUGAUGUUCAUUCAUAUUUAACAACAAAAACCUGGGUGACUGGUGUAGCUUUCUUCUGCCAUUGUGAAGUUUGAUGGCAUGUCUUUAUAUCAUGGCCAUGGGCAGGACUUGGAAAAAGUUUUACCACUAAAGCAUCUAUGAACUCAAGAAAGAAAACACUGGCUAUGUACAAUGAUGACUGUGAUCUUUUAAAUUUAUCUCAAAUAGCGAACCUACCAGUCAUACUGAGAGGAAAUCACCACUGGAGAUCCCAGAAGCAUAACAAUUGUCCCUUCCAAGUAGCAAGAAGUUACUUCAUCUUCUCAUCAGGACAAGGUUUCCAACUCUGUUGCCUCUGCAGGGGUGGAUUUGUGGAUCCUGAAUUCUGGCAGCUGUGUGAUCCACACCUUGGCUAGCACCAGAGGUCAUUGGCUAAGUGCUAUGACAGCAGGGAUUCUCCAAGGCCAAGCCCAUGGGGUUCAGGCCAGGGAUGAUCAAUCAUCAGGCGAAGGUUCCAGGACAUGAAGUGCAUCACAGGUGCUCUCCAGGAACAGGUACCCAGCCAUGCAGGACUAGGAGAGGCCCAGGGCAGCCCUGAUUCUCACAUGUCCACCCACUGGCAGGAGCUGACAGCUGUGCAUGACUAGCUCUCAAAGGCCCAGCUGCAUCCUGCCUCCUCCUGCUUCUGUUGAGUCUGGCAGCUACAAGCAAGAGUAUGGGAAAGCAGAAGACAGGAAGACAGGUGAACUCAUGGAAGACGGAGGCAGAGGGGAAAGUAGAGGCUCUGCAGACCCCAUCAUGGAGAACAAGAAACCGAGUGGGAGCUUAUCGACUUCAGCCUUACCCCAGGACGCACUCUCAACCAAGUUUACUCUCUGAACAGCUCUGAAACUUUUGGUUCAGUCGUGGCUGAACCAACAGGAAAUCAAGGGAAAUGGCACUUAUUUAUUAUGCAGCCGUAGGCCAAUUCCCCAGAUGUCAUUAUUGCACUUCCAGGCCUUUUGCUUAGGCAAAGAAACAGAGACCGAAAGAGACUUCUGAGACAACAGCCAGCAAAGAAGCUCACUGCCUUUUGAAGGGAUUCUCCUCCCAUGGGAGAAGAGCUGCUCUGGUCACUUCUACAAGUUCUAGCUGACCAGGCAGGGCCCUGGCUGAGAUCUUAUUUGGGGACUGAUCCUCUACCCUCUUCUCUCCACAAAUCAGUGAGCUUUGAGGGGAACUUGACUGCCACCAAACAUGAGGCUUUAGGACUGGAGAAGCUGGCAGACAAUGGGGUCCCCAGUGAUGCCCCUCAGAUGGGGCAAAGAUAUUCUCAACUACACCUCUGUCAAUGGUAUUAAUGGUUUUUAAAUGGUCUGUCCAUUUUUUCAUUAAAAAAGACACAGUAUUAAAAACUUGCCUGGAGUCAAACAGCUAGUAAGAGGCAAAGCCAGAUCUUGAGCUUGGUUUGUCAGGCACAUAACCACUCUACAUUAUCUUGUAAAGGUCAAAGAAAUUUUUUUCUUUUUAUUGCCUUAAAUCUAUUUUAAUGGGAAUCUUUCAGAAAUGGAGCCUUAUUUCCAUUGAUCUGAAAAUAGAAAACACUGAAGAUAUUGACACCCCCUCGUUCCUAUUCCCUAGCCACUGAACAAAAACAGCAGUUUCCUUCCAGCAGCCGCUGUUUUGGUGUAAUCCCAAUUUAAGUCACUAAGCUUCAAAAAUGCACCCUUCUGUCCUGCAGGCCUUGAUGACAGGUGAAGAUGAGGAGAUGGAGGACUCAGUCGGC